UAGGGAAUCUUCCGCAAUGGGCGAAAGCCUUACGGAGCAACGCCGCGUGAGUGAUGAAGGUCUUCGGAUCGUAAAACUCUGUUAUUCGGGAAGAACAAAUGUGUAAGUAACUAUGCACGUCUUGACGGUACCUAAUCAGAAAGCCACGGCUAACUACGUGCCAGCAGCCGCGGUAAUACGUAGGUGGCAAGCGUUAUCCGGAAUUAUUGGGCGUAAAGCGCGCGUAGGCGGUUUUUUAAGUCUGAUGUGAAAGCCCACGGCUCAACCGUGGAGGGUCAUUGGAAACUGGAAAACUUGAGUGCAGAAGAGGAAAGUGGAAUUCCAGGUGUAGCGGUGAAAUGCGCAGAGAUAUGGAGGAACACCAGUGGCGAAGGCGACUUUCUGGUCUGUAACUGACGCUGAUGUGCGAAGGCGUGGGGAUCAAACAGG
rnacentral:rRNA from 1 species